GAGGACUUAGCUUAAUUAAAGCGGUUGAUUUGCGUUCAGUUGAUGUAAGAUGUAAUCUUGCAGUCCUUA
rnacentral:tRNA from 2 species